AACAUAUCUGGUGGACACCUCCUUGUUAAGUCUUUAAACCUCUCCCAUGCUUCAUAUAGAGUCUCACCAUCUUGUUGCCUGAAAGUUUGGACCUCAGCUCUCAGCCU